GACGAACGCUGGCGGCGUGCUUAACACAUGCAAGUCGAACGAAGUGGCGAACGGGUGAGUAACGCGUAAUCAACCUGCCCUUCAGAGGGGUACAACAGUUUGAAACGACUGCUAAUACCGCAUAAUGACGGAGGGGAUUGCGUCUGAUUAGCGAGUUGGAGGGGUAAAGGCCCACCAAGGCGAUGAUCAGUAGCCGGUCGGAGAGGAGGAACGGCCACAUUGGGACUGAGACACGGCCCAGGCUCCUACGGGAGGCAGCAGUGGGGAAUCUUCCGCAAUGGACGAAAGUCUGACGGAGCAACGCCGCGUGAGUGAUGACGGCCUUCGGGUUGUGAAGCUCUGUUAAUCGGGACGCGGUACCGGAAUAGAAAGCCACGGCUAACUACGUGCCAGCAGCCGCGGUAAUUC
rnacentral:rRNA from 1 species